AAUGUUAGCAGACCACAUAUGCAAAUCAUCUGUCCUGGGCUGAAAUCAGCAGCCUACAGUAAUGAAGAUACAAUCACAUUGGCACGUUCCUGACUCUUGACUCCUAAUAGGGGAAACAUCAAUAAGAAAGCCACAUGCCUCUUUAAAGAAUGUUUUAAAAGUUGGAGAAUUCUGAUGGAAAGCCUGCCCGCCUAUGACUCAGCGUGACAGUUAACCUCAACUGUCAACUUGACGUAAUGAAAAUUGCCAGGAGAUGAGCCUCUAAACCUGCUAAGAGGGCUUUUCAAGGUGCAAUGUGACCCACCACCUCAAGCAGAUGCCACCAUGCUUUCGCUACCACAAAGGACUAUAGCCUCAAACUACACAGAGUCAAAGCUUCCUCUUGAAGCUGUGUGUCGGGUGUUUUAGUCACCGUAAUGGGAAAAUUCCCCUGCAUGAUUUCAGACCCAGCUGGGAAAGAAAUGUCACUUCUUAAUCAUGGAAUAUUUUCAUCUGCUUCAAGUUGGAAAUGGGAGAUGGCUGAGAUUCUAACCGAAAUUAUAUGGAAGCUUCUGGACCUCCGUUUGACUCCAAUGCCAUUUAAGAAGCUGUGAGUGAUCGUAUGCGCCGUGAAACCCAGUGUUGAAAGGAAAGUCAUGUGGUUUCUGGGAGCAGCUUGGGUCAGUGAGCCUCACCAAAACAGCUUCUAGUUCAAUUAAAGACCCCAUCUACAGGAAAUAAAGCAAUUAGGAAGCAGAUACUCAAGCUACUCCCUCCGUCUGAAAAUGAAGAAACAGUAGUUAAACAACUUACCUUAAGUCUCCAGUCUCACAUCUAAAGGUCUAAGCCAAGAGUUGACUCCAUGGCAUUUUCUUUCUGGAAAUAGUAUUUCAACAUUAUGGCAGAAACAGAGAAGAAUCAAAACCAUUAAUGCAUUCUCAGUAUUUUCUCCAGUACAUACCCGAAGUCUGAUAGCCAGCUAACACUCACAUUAGACCAAGGAAGAAAAAGCAUGAGAUCCCUGACAAUCUGGAAACAGUGUGAUAAAAAUGCAAAAAGAACUGUGAAA